rnacentral:lncRNA from 1 species
AACAGAACCAGUUCAGACAAGAUCAGGAACAUUUUAAGUUCAAGAUAUGAAAAAAGAAUUUGCUACCAAAAGAUUUCUGUGCUUGGUUUUAGGCACAAGCUUUAAUAUGCCUAAACAACAAGGAUGAAAUAACGUAGUCAGAUAAAGAAAUGCAAAAUACUCUGAACAUAAUGCUUCAGCCAGCAUCCGAGCCGAGGUGCUCUAAAGUUCUACAGUUGAACACUAAAUUAUUUAUAGGCAGGUUAAUCUCUUUGUAAAAUCAGGACAUGUAAGGGAGACUGAAAUGCAAACAGAUAGACCCUGAAAACCUGAAACUACAAAGAAGGUGCAGAGCCCUCUCAUACUAAUGGAAUGGCUUUGAUCUAGGUAUUAUGAUUGGAGACACCAGAGCUCCUAGAUCAAGACAUGGUUGCCCUAUUACUAACAUAACAAGUGAUUAUGAAAUCAAAUGAUGAAGAAUACAGAAUUAGUAGUAAUCAUAUACUUUGGAGAACUUUGAUGUUUAUGGGACUGGUGUCUUACCUCACAAGCGUCGAGGGAGGCAAGAUGGGCUUUUUUUUUCAUUAUAUGUAAUAUCAGUUCAAAUGAAAAUUUGUAGCUUUUGGGUCUCAAAACUGAAAAGCAUAUCUGUCUAUAAGCAACAAACCACAUCUUUACUCUUCGCUAAACCCAACUAGGAACCAAAAUCCCUAUAACCCAAUGCCCAAUAGGAGAAGGAAAAGAGAGGAGGUUGAGGAGCGGGGAAUCCUAUUAUUGAGUGCCAAUCGCCGAGGCUAAGACUACCNNNNNNNNNNNNNNNNNNNNCCUAUUAUUGAGUGCCAAUGCCAGGCUAAGAUACCAGUCCAACUACGAACUGUUGAUUAUCAAUAACAGGAUUAUUGACUGAAAACUGUCAGACUGUCGACCGUCAAUCACCUUCCUCCUUUCCUUUCCUCUCCUCUCCUCAUACAUAUAAGCCAUACUAGAGAGAACAAAGAUCCCUAUAACCCAAUGCCCAAUAGGAGAAGGAAAAGAGAGGAGGUUGAGGAGUGGGGAGUCCUAUUAUUGAGAGCCAACGCCAGGCUAAGAUACCAGUCCAACUACGAACUGUUGAUUAUCAAUAAUAGGAUUAUUGACUGCAAACUGUCAGACUGUCGACCGUCAAUCACCUUCCUAAUUUCCUUUCCUCUCCUCCCCUCUCAUCAUACAUAUAAGCCAUACUAGGGAGAACAAAGAUCCAUUUGUAGCAAUGCAAAAAUUAACCAAAUAUAAUAGUAACUAUAACACAUGAACUUUAGAACAUUGAUAAGGUAUUUCAGAGUUCAGAGAGUUGGACUUUAAAAGAUUUAUAAGAGAACUUAAGACAUGAUUCGACAUUAACUAGAGGGACCGAUCUUCCUGAGGAAUUCAAGGUUAUCCCCUUUCUUUUUAAAAAUCAAGCUUUCCGGGAAAAGAAAAAAUCACUAGGAACUAUAAUA